UACAGAGGUCCCGAGCGUUGUUCGGAUUCAUUGGGCGUAAAGGGUGCGUAGGCGGCGGGGCAAGUCUGAUGUGAAAUCCCGGGGCUCAACCCCGGAACUGCAUUGGAUACUGCCUUACUUGAGUACUGGAGAGGGAACUGGAAUUUACGGUGUAGCAGUGAAAUGCGUAGAGAUCGUAAGGAAGGCCAGUGGCGAAGGCGAGUUCCUGGACAGUUACUGACGCUGAGGCACGAAGGCCAGGGGAGCAAACGGG
rnacentral:rRNA from 1 species